UAUCGGUCAGUGUGUGAGUUAUCUUUAUAAAAUUGCUUGGAAAUAUACGCUCUAGCGUACUUAAGUAGUGUCAAAAAUUAAUGAAAUCUGUCCCGAUGAUCCUGUAUUUGACUUUCCAUCGGGUUUGAAACCAUUUGCAAAUGUAAUUAUGAAUUGAAGUUUACGUCUGAUGAUAUAUAGAAAUUGAUAAGAUACUAAAUUUGAUUGGAACCCACUCAGUUUCUUAGGAUAUUGCUUGUUCUUGCUGAGUUCUUCGUCAACGUUUUUUAAUUUGAAACUUCUGAGAGUAUUUUUCCGACUUUGAGAUUUGCAAAUCGCGAGAGUAUAAAAUGUUGGGUUACACACGAUCUUCUACUAGUAUACUACUCUUAUACUAGCUUUAGAUUGGACGGCACGGUGUAGCUAGUAGAGUGCAUUAGUGAAUGAUCAGCGGACGGUAAUUGGGUAGCUGAUCGCGAACCCCUUCCUAUGCCGGAUAUCGGCUCUUCGGAUGUGUGACCAACCUUUUCCGGAUGAUUCGUGGGACUAAAUAUGAACACAAACAACAACAAAAUAACAACAAUAACAACUGACACCUUGACGACCACCAGAACGACAGCAAGGAUAAUGGCAAACAUUAUUUCUUCCAACCAGGAGACGAUAAAAAGCUCUACCGGGCGUAGGAGCCAAAUUACGCCAGUAGUAAUAGCAACAAAAACAGGGGAUUCCAAUCAAAGUACCUUAAACCUAACAUAGGUAUGGAACUAACCGUCAACCUCCAAAGCAGCUAAGAGUACCAACCAGACCACACUGGCUGCCAAAGGGGAGGUACAACGUAAAAGUGAAAGAAAUCUCAAAAUCAGCAGAGGAAGAGCCGGUACCAGAAGACAGUCUUCGUACUCGGAAAGAUAGCCAAGGAUCAGGCUGCUGGCCCCUCAGUUGACGAAGAGGAGAUUAAGCACCAGACACAGGUUGUGGAGAAGUAUAAGAGUUUCCUGAAAAGGAAGCAAUCGGAACAUUCCGCGGUGACCGCCAAAAAAAACACGAAGAAAAGGAAUCGCUCCCAUAACGAAAUGUUGGAAACUCUGCCCAAAAAACUCAAGUAGCAGGGAUUUGAAACAAACAGUACUGUUUAAAUGAGUAUAAACUCAUCCCGCCAAGUACACCGCUUCACCCGGAAAAUAAUGACACACCCUAGUAUAACCAACUACAAUACACCACACUCAUACAUCCCCACGCGGGAUAACACAACACACCAGAGCAUCGCGCCUGUACGCCACCUCAGCAAACAAAAAGGAUGAUCUCCGCAGCAGAUACUCCUCAUUCGAAAAAAUAACGAUCCUGCGCGCAGCUCUUUUCAUUCGUUUCGACCACCAGCCGAGUUAGCUCUGAUCGACACUGCUCCGCACGCGUUUACUUUUCUUGGUCAGCCGAAUCCGGACCUUAGCGGAAUUGAAUGGACACAUCGCUUCGCUCACCAUCGGACCCGUUUUUCUAUAAUAAUUUUAAUUGUAACAAUAUCUUGUUAUAAAAUAAAAGUCUCCUUUUAUUUCGUAUUUCAAAUCAACCCCAUUUUCACUUACAUAUGUAUAUACAUAUGUAUAAUAUUUAACGCGAAUGUAAGUGCAUUAUCAGCAAUUUAAAUUCAGUGGUGGGUGUUUCCCACUGAAUUGGGCACCCAUUUAAACAAGUACAAAAACACCUGAACACUUUCUUGAUGUGGCCACAGACUGCCUGCAAGUGUCGGUAACAGACGAAAACUCCUGAUCUAACACCAUUCAGGAGAGUUGGGUGGCGAUAGACGUCAGAUUGUCGAGCCUAGUAUUAAGCUACAUUAUUGACAAAAUUAGCUUCUUUGAAGGCCUCAAACUGAGGCUCCUACCUGCUAAGGAUAUCCCAAAGAGACCUCGUGUUCGCAUUCGGAUGUCUCUUCUAGAGGAGUCAGGCGAAAAACUCCUGAGGUACAUUACGCUGCAGAACAAGUCUGUAACAGGAAUAGACGACUAUUAAUAAACAAUUAAUAUGCGACCAGAUAAAUUUGCAGCACUCAAAAAGUGCUACAAGUAGUCUGACAAUACUUACAAAUGAGAGGGGCAUCGACAUUAGCCUAAUACAGGAGCCCUGGGUCAGAGAUGACACAGUCGAAGAGCUCAACAGCACCAACUACAACAUUUUCCACAAACGAAAUGAAGGUAUACAAAGGGUAAGCAUUCUCAACAAUAAAGAUAUAAAUGAAUUUCUUUGCUGAAAUUAUAGAACAGCAGAUACCGCAAAGGUAAGGGUGGAACAAAAGAAAAGUAAUUUCUUUGUGGCACACGAUAGAGACGUGCCACCAGAAUCACUCAAGGAAUUAACAGAUGGCAACAAAGAAGAAGACAUCCUAAUAGGUUGUGACGCAAACGCAAGACACACUCUAUGAAGAAGCUCCAGAACAAACAUCAGAGAGGCGAUAAGCCAACCUUCAUAUUGCCAAGUUCGGAAAGGCUUUAGGGAUGGGAGGAAUUGCUGGCUCUCACGCUAUCUACAAAGACAGAUCGCCUUACCGUAGAUGACUAAAGGGUCUCCAAGGAGCUAUAUAUGUCGGAUCACUCCUGGAUACUUUUCAACAUUCGCGAGCAAAGCAGUACUCCUCUCAAAUAUCGAAACCUUAAAAGAACAGUAUGGGAUAAAUUUACUGCGACAGCUACUAAAGGCUAAGAAAUAAGCAGGAAUAAUAAUAAAACCAGAAAUACUCAAGAGCUAGAUACAGAGGUGGAGAAUAUCGAGAAAAUUUUAUCUACCUCUUUCAAUCAAUCCAUGCCGUCAACCUUUAAUGAAAGUUAUAGGACCAAACUUUGGCAACCCUAUAAAGAUAUCAUGAAUCAAUACAAAGAAGCAGUCUGGAAGUUAGACAGACCUAAUGCACAUCAAAAGAAUAUUCCAGGCUGAGCAAUAUACUGUCCAAAGGACACACCAAUAUUGAGUAGCUAGAGAUUCUUAUAAACACCCAUUUCCUGUGAGGUUAGCAAUCUAUGGUAAUGGAUGUUCAACCAGUACAAGGCGCAAGUACACCAGACCAUAUGCAUAACGGCAUGCACCACCACCACAACAGCAGGCUUAGCAUAUUUUGAGCUUGCUGGAAUGUGCGGUACAGCCGGACCAGAAAACUGCAGGAGCAAGUUUAUUGUAUUUAUAUUGGAAGAAAGUGAAAUUAGUAACAUUUAGCUCGACCAUUUAAACCCAGAAGAACGGACAAAAUUAAUAACCACUAUAUCUAUGACUACAUUUGAGAACGUGACUUGCCAACGGUUUGCAUCCAACGGAAAGCAUUUUGCCAGUUCUUUCUAGCCAGGUUCUUUGCUAUAAACAAUCUUCUAUUCGAAUUAAGGUUAGUUAUUGAGG